rnacentral:tRNA from 1 species
UGUGAUUUAGCUCAGUGGCAUGGCAUCUACCUCCCAAGUACAAGGUCCUGCGUUCGAUCCCCAGUACCACAA